GCUGGCGGCAUGCUUAACACAUGCAAGUCGAACGGCAGCACAAGUUGUAGCAAUACAAUUGGGUGGCGAGUGGCGGACGGGUGAGUAACGCGUAGGAAUCUGCCUUUAAGAGAGGGAUAACCCGGGGAAACUCGGGCUAAUACCGCAUAAAGUUGAAAGACCAAAGGCUGGGGCAACCUGGCGCUUAGAGAGGAGCCUGCGUCUGAUUAGCUAGUUGGUGGGGUAAAAGCCUACCAAGGCGAUGAUCGGUAGCUGGUCUGAGAGGAUGAUCAGCCACACUGGGACUGAGACACGGCCCAGACUCCUACGGGAGGCAGCAGUGGGGAAUAUUGGACAAUGGGGGCAACCCUGAUCCAGCAAUGCCGCGUGUGUGAAGAAGGCCUUCGGGUUGUAAAGCACUUUAGGCUGGGAAGAAGAUAUUUUGUUUAAGAGAUGAGAUAUUUGACUGUACCGGCAGAAUAAGCACCGGCUAACUCUGUGCCAGCAGCC
rnacentral:rRNA from 1 species